GCAACAAUGAACCGUUUUUAAAAAAUAAAGAGGGCUUAAAAACUGAUCUAAUGGAUGAAGAGGAAUAUCGGCCCAAGCCCAAACAAUAAGCUCACAGUCAUAGACGUGGUGGCCUUGAUAGGGCCCAAGUAAUAAUAUAACCACGAUUCACGGUCUCCCGGUUGGAUUCCCCGGCAAGCGGCCGCGCCCGGAGCCGGAACCCAACCGACGAGUUCUUCCACCCACGCGACGGCGACACUGCCACCGCGCUCGGAGGCGCUGAAGCCAGCCGAGAGGCGGGGCCCGGCCCCCCGGCGACUAGUAGGCAGCCACAGCCAACCACUCGAAGUGUUCGGUUCCACUUCCACGUUCAGGUAGAGCUCGUCGCCGCAACAUCGACCUUCUCCGUCCAGGUGGAUUUUUUUUUUCUUGAUAUGUCAUUCUUCAAGUCAGAUCUGCUAGUCUAGCACUGUAUGUAUGUUGGUAGUAACUGUUUGCUUCGGAUUAAAGCAACAAGUUUGGACUGCUGCAGCUGUAAUCCAUAGAGACAAAAAUACUGUAGAAGUAGAAGCUGUUACGGAUUAAAACCAAGCGGACAGGCUGGAAACUUUUUUUUUUUUGAACAAAGACAGCAAGGUUCAUGUAGAGGAAUUAUCUCCAUGUGUACCAGACUAGCAGAAUGGAUGUUUUUUGACAUUUUAUUAGUCGUAGUAGCAAAAUCAUGCCCAGCUGAAAAAAAACAGUUGCAAAACUAUGCAUCUGAUCUCUACUGUGAUUCUGGAACUGCCUGUUUACAGUUACAACAUUCAAAAUGAAAAGUGUUAUGCUUGAGCUAAAACUGUUAUACAAAUGAACAAACCUGACUUGUAUUAUCUUGGCAUAUACAACUUGCUUGACACAACACCGGAAUUUGAAUCUCUCUUCUGUAGUCUGUACACUUAAUAUACACAACUAAAAAUCACUCUCCAGCAAGUAAGACCAGAUGUGUGCUGAAUCCUGUGCUCAAUUUAUGCUUCAGCCUUGAGAUAUUGGUGGAGCAGAUGCCUGUGUGGUCAUCUUGCUUCUUAGCUCUUCAAAAGCUUUCAUGCUUUCUGCAUCAAAGCCCCCAGCAAACUGCAGAAGGUAGAGGAAUAAGUUACUGAUUCGAAGCCUUUAAUUUACCUGUAAAGUACCUGGGUUUUGAAUAUAUAGAUGUGAGGAUUUUACCUGAUGAACCCGGAAAGCGAACCUCACACCCUGGAGAAGCAAAAACUCUCUAUUGGGCUCUUUCUCAGUGCCUUCUAAUGCAUCAAGUUCUGAGGCAACCCUCUUCAUAUACUUGUUUGCAAGCUGGACAGAUGCCACUUUGAUCUAUUCCAACACACAAAUAAAAUAUUGAGUUCAUAUAGGUGCAUACUCCAAGUAAAAGCACACCCGCCUUCAUAAGGAAUUAAAAAUGCAUGGUUUCUUUAACACAAGUUUGUCAAAAUUGGAGUGCUUGCUAGAGAUGCAAACCUUGCCAACUACUCCAGAAUCUGACAGCCAGUCAAAUGGGAUCCCGUACUCCUUGUAGCGUGAGACGGUCAUGUCUCUUGUACGGAGUAGUGCAUAGACACUCUGCUCCACUCUGGCAUAUGUAUUGACGCUAGUUAGUACAAUGAAACCAUCACUUUGGGUAAAAUUAUGUUCAUCACAUACAUAUCUUAAACCAGGCAAAAAUAUUGCUGUUUCACUCUGAAGUACUAUGUUAGAGAGAAUACUAGGUAUGAUGAGGACGAGACACUAACUUUUCAAGCAAAGAAUACAUCUUCUUGAGAGCUUCUUCACACGCAAGUUGUGGAUCAUCGGUAAAGGUUGAAACCCUGUUCUGUAGCUUUAUCAGAUCCUGGUACUCAAAAGCUGCUUCUCUUAUUGCAUCUGUUUUGCUCUCUGGCCAAUCAAAAUGUUUUAGCACUGCUCUCUCAUCAACCUAAAAUUUUGUUGAUCCUCUUUAGUACUAGAACAUGUGUCAUAAGUACAAUAAUUGCUACUUCAUGACAGAGGUAUUGUAUGAAGGGCAUGUUCGGGCUGCUUACCAAGAAAGACAACUCCUCAUCCAACCAAUUUACAAAUGCAACAACGUCAUCAAUAUUUAUGAAGCUUGCUGCUCGGACCUCAUUUGCUAGAGAUUCAACAAAUUCUCCUUGUGUCUCCACAUCAGCUUUUACCUGAAACAUUCCAUGUUUUUAUAAAACAUUUGUCACUUUUCAUUAUUGAAAUCUGAUUACUAGUUUUAAUUAUGCAUUAAUAGUGGAACUCAUAAAUUUCACAGGAUUUUUGUUCAAGAUGGUGCCAGCAGAAAAUACUUACAGCUAAGAGGAAUGUUGAUCUGUUCUCAAUCUCUCCAAUCAUAUUACUUCUGGCAUCAGAUACAUUGGAUGAUAUUGACCCUAAAGAUGUCUCCCUUUUUGCUUCACGCUUCAUGAGACUUUGAUAGAACUCUACAAUCUCCGGCGCACGGUGUACCUUGUCACCCCCGCCAAGGUUCCUUGGUAGAGCACCUGGAGGUGGCGGUGGUGGCGGUGGGCCACCAACUUUCCCUGGAGGUGGUGGUGGAGGAGGUGGUGCACCUGGUGCCCGUGGCGUUUGUACUCCACUUGCAAUACUGGUAGCCCCUGAAGCAGCGGUUGAUCGAGGGGGAGGUGGUCUGGGAACUCUUGUUGCUCUCUUCUCAACGUUGGCAAGCUUCAUCUGGCUCACCACCAGGGUGUUGUUUUGGUUGUCACUGGAUUGCUCACUGGAUUCAGCAUUAGCUGCAGGGGAUCUCUCCUUAAUUUGAGCAAGUUUUGGAGGGAGUGCACCUUUUGGAGAGGAAAUUAGAGCUGAACUGUGGCCACCACCAAACCUUUGUGCUCUUGCUUGCCCAGCCUUCUCUUUUAUAGCCUUCUCCCGUUCAGUUGCAAGUUUGUGCCUAUCUUUGUAAGCAGGAUACUUCUCAUCAGCAAAACCUUCAACUGUCUUGGACAUCAAUUGGAAUGAGGACGCGACAUUUUCGUCAUCCAAGACAUCAUUGGGAUCCCUCUUUCCGUAUGUUGUUAUGGCUGUACCAUCUCCAGCGUUUUUUAGCAUUAGAGCUUCCAGUGGGCCCUUUGGUUUCCUCCUUGGAGAGCCACUGAUGGAGGAGGCUAAACUACUGCUGUCAUCCUUGCUCCUUCCCCACCUUUUGAAUUUUUGCAUCAGAUUAGACCUUUUGCUUAGGAAGCUGUAUCUGCUGGAAGAACUGUCAAUUGACAUGUUGUCAAAGUCUUCGCUUCCAGGUGAAGAAGGCAUUGAAGAAACAACACUCUCAAGGUCUGUGUCACCCUGACCCCGUUCAGAUCCUGCGUACUCCAACAUCAGUUGUUUGGCCCUCUCCUGUGAUUUGGGGCUCAGUGUCCUGUUAAGAUCACGUGCAGAGACCUUCCCUGAUGGAGUCUGAUAAUUGCGGAGCUCGAAUCUCAGACAGGCAUUGACCCAGCGCAGGUAUACCAACUCCUCUACUUCACUGAACCUGUUCAUCUGUAGGCCUUCCACUUGCUUUGUGAGGUCCUCAUUUGUAUGCCUCAGCUUGUUUAUCUCUUCUCUUGCAUUGGCAACUACAUCACUCUGCAUGAUAUACAGUAGGGUGUGUCAUUAGCACAUGUUCCAGCUUCUCAAAGUAUAUCAAACUAUAUGAAUACUUUGCAGAAAUCUCUAGGUGCAUUCUUGCCUCUCAGGCUAGUUUGGAAACUUAAAUCCCCUCCGGGAUUCCCGGAAAUUGAGCGGGAAAUUAGCUCAUUUUCCCAUUUUCCCAUCAAUCCCCGGGAAUCCCGGAGGGAAUUUAAGUUUCCAAACUAACCCUUAGAGAACCUUAAAUUCUGACAUAGUUGUUAAAUGUAAUGCUACCUCUGAAAUCAUGCUUUAGUAAGUACUUUAGGUAACUGCAUUUUCAUUGUACUGGUCUGAAAAUAUGUUAAUUCUAUGCUGUGUAAUAUCUUGCAUAAUGAUAAUCAUGUAUAAGACGAAAUUUCAAUUUUGCAGUCAUCUUGAUGAGAUUUGUUUUCUGUUUAUGAGAAGGGCAACUUGUAGAGACUCAUAAUACUAAGAUACCUCAGUUAUUUUCCCUUCAGCUGCAUCCAACUUCACAAUGAGAUCUCUCUUCUCAUACAACAACUCCUUGUUCUUCCUCCUUAGCUCAAGUACCUCCACUUCCAACUCCCUGAGCUUCUUCAGCUUCCGUUGAACCUCAGCUUCCUUUUUCCCCGCCUCUUCCUCCUUGGCCUUCAAUCCGAUGACCUGUUGUUUCAGCAACAUCAGCUGACCCUUUGUCUGGCCUGCUUCUAGCUGUAUCUGCCGCUGCAGCUCCUUGAUCUUGCCUCUAGCCGCUUCAAGCUCUUUAUUGGCAACCUCUCCACAUGCAACGUCAUCUUGCAGCUUCUUCCGCUCCGCCUGCAGUGAGUUUAUGGUGUCGUUGAGCAUGUUGAUCUCCGCUGUCUUGAUCUUGAGCUGCUUUUGCAGUUCGGCGAUGUCAGUCUCCAUUUCCUUCAUUCCAUAGUACUCUAGCAGCUCGCCCUCAAGCUUCGCCUCUCUCUCUUCCAUUUCCCUCACCAGGCUGCGCAGCUUCUCUAUCUCAGAGGCCUCGUUAGCCAUGUAAGCGUUGUUGUACCGUGACCGUCCAUUAACGUCGAAGCGAUCGCUUGGUAUAGGGAUGUCAAUGUCUCCUGAUAGGAGGCUUUCGAUCUCGGAAAGCAUAUCAUCGUCGUCAUCGCCUAGCGAGCGGGCUGAGUUGAUUAUGCCGCUGAUUGUUUUAACCUCUUCCUUCUCUUCUUCUUUCUCCCCCUGUAACAGCAGUUGGAGAGGUAAGUAUGACAUAGGCCACUAAUACAACACAAUUUUCUUUUAGCAAACUUUGAACUGACAUAAGAUGUACAUACAUGUUCAGAAUUGUUAGCCUUAUCCUUCCUUUUCCUUGCUUGGACAUAGUCUGAAAACAGGGACCCUUGAAUGAAGAAUUCAAAUGAAGAGAAGAAACCUAAGGAAAGGAGAGCAGAACAAGAUUGGUACCUUUGCUGUGCCUGGCCCCACUGUUAGCUCUCUGAAGAGUUAAAGCUGCGACGGAGGCUACAACGACAAAGCCUAAUCUCACAAGCAUGACUC
rnacentral:lncRNA from 1 species